rnacentral:lncRNA from 1 species
CGCAAUCCUGUAACUUCUGAUGGCCUGGAGGAGCUCCAGCUCUAUCUCUUCGCCGAUUGGGAGCGCGCUGUCGUCCCUGAACACGUGAGAACCCCAGCAACCACAAGGCUGCUGUAGAGGAAAUCGACAAAGCCGGUGCGAGUGUCUGGACCUCUGAAAUUCAAAAACACAUCGUAGUUCCGAGGGGCCGCGCAUCUUUUCCUCUGCAGGGCUUUGUAGGCGUACACGGACAGAGGGACUAGUGGUGGAACGGCCGCUAAGCCAUACAAUGCUUUUCUCUUAUUCAUUUUCUUCUCUCUUUU